rnacentral:lncRNA from 1 species
ACUGAGCUGUUCCCUGCGCUAAGGUGCUCUUUUGGGCCUAAAUAUAAUUAGAUCCUUCGCCGUUGUUUUGAGGUAAAUCUAAACGAAAAGGAACACCUGUUAACAGGUAGUGAUGCCGCAGGAAAGUGCUGGGAAGGGAAUGCUGGGAAGGGAAGGGCGUGGUCCCUUUAAAUGAUAAGGAAGGGGGGCGGGAAGUGCUGGGUAGAGGAGGGCGUGGUCCCCAGCUAGGGCUUCAUCCCUGGGCCUGGGCCUACCUAGGUGAAGACAGGCAUUUUUGUUUUCCUGCCCGGAUGUUGCAUUUCCCAAGACCACCCUGGCCUGCCAUGCCCUCAUCCUGUGCCUUUAAAAACCCCCGAGACCCUGGCAGGCAGACGCACAAGCAGCUGGACAUUGAGAGGAGCAUAUAGGCAGAGAAUACAGGGGCUGCUGGAUGUCGAAAGGAACGCACCAGCAUAGGAGCACACCGGCAUGCUGGCAGGCCAUUGACCAGCGGAAGAAUGCAGAGUUUGUCGCGGGAGGUCAGAGAAGAGUCAGGCCGCCAUACCUGACUCCAGGAGAAAACCGUCUCCCUUCUGGUUCCCCCGUCUGCCGAGAGCUACUUCCACUCAAUAAAACUUUCCACUCAUUCUUCAAGCCCACGUGUGAUCCAAUUCUUCCCGUACACCAAGGUCUCGCUGUGUUUCCCAGGCUGGGUGCAGUGGCUAUUCAAAGGUACAAUGAUAGCUCACUGCAGCCUGGAACUCCUGGACUCAAGCGAUCCUCCUGCCUCAGCUGCGACUAACAGUGCUGGUAAUGAUGUAUACCUGGCAGCUGACCGUCAAAUCUUAUGAAGGAUUAAAACAUAAAGUUUGCAUUAAAGGUCAAAACAGUCACAAGCCUGCUCAAAUUCGGAAAGAGGGGACGGAAAUGGAACCUCUUCAUGGGAGGAAGAAUUGGAAAAAUGAAUGUAAUUUGACAUAUGUCUUGAGUCUGGUUGGCUUCUGAGGAACUUGUGUGCAUCUCAUCAGUAUGCAUCUUAAGAACUGAAAUGACCCUACUUCAGCAUUGUGAGAAGACAUGCAUUCUCUUCGUAUAAAUAAUGUGGAUCUUACAUGUGAAAUUACAUAAAGAUAAAAGGGGAUGCACUGAACCUGAUGGUACUUUCCUGUACAAUUGAGAAAAGGUGAAAUAAGCAGAAGACCAAGGGAUGCAUUGGGAGGAGGAGAACCAGGAGGAGGACCACGUAAUGGAAGCCAAGUGAAGACAGUGUUUCCCAGUGCUGGCAAGGAGCAGGCUCCAUGCAUGCAUUUGGGCUCUGUGGAAAAUCUAGCCAGGGAUGCGGGCCUUUCUGAACGCCGCUUUCAUUGUGCCCCCUGCAGCAUUAUCUCUUCGAUGCGAUGUCCCUGCUGACUGAAAUGCAGAGAAGCUACUAAGAUCCACACACCAGUUGCUGCAAUCGGUGCCCUGCUCUUUGUCCCCCAUUCACCCCAGGUGAUUCAGCUCUUCUGGCACUCCCAGUGAUUCCUGUGGGACAGGCCCAGAGUGGACUUCCCACGAAGAUUCCCAGACUGGGGGAGAGCUCUAAGAUCCACUUCCAAUUCCUUUGUCUCACCUAGGAGACUCUGGGUUUAUGGAAGUUCUCUCUGAUUAGUGCUGUUGCAGCUGGGUUUGGGGGUCAUGUAGUCUAAAUGAUUGUUUCUCUUACUGGUGGUGAUUUUUCCAGUUUCUGUGGGCCCAGUGGAUUUCUCUGCUUCUCCUUAGAGUUCUGGUGAACUCAGAAUGUUAGUGUUAUUCUUUUCUUUGAAAAUAGUUUCCAUUUGUAAUUUGCUUGGAGAGUGAUUCUGGGGGAUUCUAUUCUGCCAUCUUGCUGCUGUCACUCUUUAAUAAGAUUUGUAACUAAUUCUCAAAUUGUUCAUAGUCUUAAAACUACAUAGAGUUGAUUUCAUACAUUUUAUUAUGAGAACAAUAAAAGUAUUUUGUGUCUUUGCUAGUGAGAUUUUUAGUUAUACAGAAAUUACAGUGUUUCCUGCUAUGUUCAAUCAUUCCAAGAUUCAUUAUACAUAUGUUAAAUAUGUUAUACAUUUGUUUACAUAAUGCAUAUUUUAUUUUUUUUCUGAGAUACCCAAAGCAUAAUCUCCCUCACUAUCCUGAAUAAUUAUAAAUUAGUAUUUCAUAUAUGAUAGAAAAUUUGUGACAUCCACUAUUUUUAAGAACGGCUAGGCUGGGCGUGGUGGCUCAUUCCUGUAAUCCCAGCACUUUGAGAGGCUGAGGUGGGCGGAUCACGUGAGUUCGGGAGUUCGAGACCAGCCUGACCAGCAUGGAGAAACCCCAUCUCUACUAAAAAUACAAAAUUAGCCGGGCGUGGUGGCACAUGCCUGUAUUCCCAGCUACUCGGGAGGCUGAAGCAGGAGAAUUGCUUGAACCCGGGAGGUGGAGGUUGCAGUGAGCCGACAUCAUGCCAUUGCACUCCAGCCUGGGCAGCAAGAGUGAAACUCUGUCUCGAAAAAAAAAAAAAAAAAAAAAGAAGAAUGGCUAAUUUCAGAACAUGUUUAUAUGUAUGUUGUAUUCAAUGUCUUUAAUUAAAGUCUGUUUCUUUAUCCUAAUUUGUG